CAGCCCUGUAGGAGACACCUCCAGAGAAAGUAACAGCUCUCAAUUGAUUAGCUGAGGAGACCGAUUUUGUAAAUCACUACUUUUCUAACAACACUGGCACAGAUGGCCAAGCAUUCUCCCUUUUCUCAGAGCUGGUUUUCCAUCCCGGAAAGAGGACUUACAUAUACAAAGUUACUCUAAUCAGUUGUCCAGAAUUAGCUUCUGUUACUUACAACUGUGAGUCCUGACUGAAAACAUAUUUCUUCCUUUGAAGAAUUGUUACCUGUAACAGGCUAAGAAGAAUAUUAAGCUCGCAUUGGCGGGAAGUUCUGGCACAAAUGAAGUAUCUAUAAGGAGCAGCAGAGUCAAGGUGGUGAUCCUGUGGAUGAAUAACUGAAACCUGAUAUACUUGACAGCAGAAAAUAUAAAGCAAAUUGAAAAGGAGAGAGUGUGGAGAUAAAUAAGAAAAUGAAAGAACUGAUAAAGUCACUUGGAUUAAAAAACCUGGGAGUAA
rnacentral:lncRNA from 1 species